AAUAAUUAAUGCCCUUAUUAUAAAAAUGGAGAUCCUAAAUGAUUGAUUAUGUUAGUGAAGAGUUGACUAAGCCACUGAAAUGCUCCAUCCAAAUGGGACAAGUAAACUUGCUGUCAGCCAUUUUAAUCACAACUAGUCAUUUCUUUAGGAAACACUGUGUGCCUGCAACCCUCUUAUCUGUCUAUGAGCUGGUGUCUGGUGCGUGCCGGUUUAUACUUGAGAAAAAAACUGCAUUAGAUCUAGCUAGCCCCUUCAAUCAUGCCUUUGCACACGCUGCAAUGAACUGAGAGAAGUCAAUGGCCAGCUUUCAUAUUAUUCCCUUUUGUGCC
rnacentral:lncRNA from 1 species